rnacentral:rRNA from 1 species
GAUGAACGCUGGCGGCGUGCCUAAUACAUGCAAGUCGAGCGAACAGACGAGGAGCUUGCUCCUCUGACGUUAGCGGCGGACGGGUGAGUAACACGUGGAUAACCUACCUAUAAGACUGGGAUAACUUCGGGAAACCGGAGCUAAUACCGGAUAAUAUAUUGAACCGCAUGGUUCAAUAGUGAAAGACGGUUUUGCUGUCACUUAUAGAUGGAUCCGCGCCGCAUUAGCUAGUUGGUAAGGUAACGGCUUACCAAGGCAACGAUGCGUAGCCGACCUGAGAGGGUGAUCGCCCACACUGGAACUGAGACACGGUCCAGACUCCUACGGGAGGCAGCAGUAGGGAAUCUUCCGCAAUGGGCGAAAGCCUGACGGAGCAACGCCGCGUGAGUGAUGAAGGUCUUCGGAUCGUAAAACUCUGUUAUUAGGGAAGAACAAAUGUGUAAGUAACUAUGCACGUAUUGACGGUACCUAAUCAGAAAGCCACGGCUAACUACGUG